rnacentral:rRNA from 1 species
AGCUCCAAUAGUGUAUCUUAAUGUUGUUGCAGUUAAAAAGCUCGUAGUUGAAUUUCUGGCACUCCAGCUGCCUUCGGGCGUGCAUGGGGUUGUCAUCCGCGUUGGAGCCGUAUGCGUGGAAACACCAUGCGGGGAAGGCGCAUUUUACUUUGAAGAAAUUAGAGUGUUCCAGGCAGGCUAUGCUUGAAUAUUACAGCAUGGAAUAAUGGAAUAGGACUUGUCCUUUUCGUUGGUUAAUUGGACUAGUAAUGAUUAACAGGGACAGUUGGGGGUAUUCGUAUUGGGCAGUCAGAGGUGAAAUUCUUUAAUUUGCUCAAGACGCACUAAUGCGAAAGCAUUUACCAAGGAUGUUUUCA